UACGAAGGGGGCUAGCGUUGCUCGGAUUGACUGGGCGUAAAGGGCGCGUAGGCGGUUUGCAUAGUCAGACGUGAAAUUCCUGGGCUUAACCUGGGGGCUGCGUUUGAUACAUGCAGGCUUGAGUUCGGAAGAGGGUCGUAGAAUUCCCAGUGUAGAGGUGAAAUUCGUAGAUAUUGGGAAGAACACCGGUGGCGAAGGCGGCGACCUGGUCCGAUACUGACGCUGAGGCGCGAAAGCGUGGGGAGCAAACAGG
rnacentral:rRNA from 1 species